AGGGCGGGGGGUGCAGACCGGAGGGCGCCCAUAGAUAGCGGAGAGUGGCGUGACGGGCCCCGGCGUUUUGGAAGCACAGCGGGAUGUGUCAGUGUGGUGCAAGGACUGACACGGGGACGAGAUGUAAUUUAUGACGAGUGCUGUUUGAUUACAGGACAGCGACGGUGAUACUGCCACUUAGUGCGAGUGCCGGGAUCACUGACAUGACAGCCCCCGCGCCGACAAGCUCACUGUACUUAGUCACAUCUGCGGUAAAUAUAACAUUAACUGCAAAUCUGCAGUCCAUCUCGGAGUACGUUUUUUAAGAGGCUGCCCUCUCUGAAUUUCACUGCUCAGCUCAGAUGUAGUUUUAUCAUUAAGUGCAUUACUGGAGUGUGUGUUUAUUAAGUACGAUUCCAAGCUACUCAGAAACGAGUCCAAGCAUCCUGGGGCUCAAAUUCUUUCUCAAUGGUUUGUUUUGGAAAAAGACCAUAGAAUAUUUUUUUGGGAAACUGGCAGCUGGUCCUCUCAUAGCUAGAGGUCAACAUAACACUCAGUAUUAAUAAAACAAAUAAGACUAGGAUGGAUAUUAAUGAUGAUAUAUACAGAUGUCCGGCGCAUGAGUUUGAAUUAUGUGUGAGCGCGCUGGAGGAGAGACACUCUCACAGAUACUCUCACACAUGUUUAUGUGUUGGCUUGUGUGUGUGUGUGUGUGCGCGCGCGAUAGCCGAGUUCGUUUCCCUCAGAUGUUCCCUUUGACCUUUGACCCCGCAGUCGGGGUCAAGCCCUGACAAAUGAGAUGGUCGAGUUCUGGCCAGAACUGCUAACAUUCCACAACAAUCUUCUGUCCUCCUCCUCCCCUCUCCUCAUAUCCGUCAUUCCUCACCCCUUCACUCCUCUCUCAGCGUGUCUCUCUUCCGCGACUUGAGAGCGAGUUGGGGAAAGUUCUCAUUACAAACAAACACGCUCUAUAGUAUUUGCUGUGGGAAUCUGAAACUGCGCACCCCUUCAAAUUAAGAGUUACAACGUCGGUUGGAUUUAAUAUCCCCCGACAUCUGCCUCAUUCACAGAAGAAAAGAAAACAGAAGAGUGUGAUCUUAGAGGAGAAGCCCGGUUAAAGAUUUGGAUAUUGCAACCCCGCAACUUUAGAAAGCACACUGUGUGUGUGUUUGGAAAGCCUGUCAGUGAUGUCAAGGAUGAGAAAUGUUGCAGUGUGGUUUUUUACACACGCUGCUGGCUCUAGCAUUUCCGGCAACAUUUCUCACUCUGCCUCCCUCACACCAUCCGCUCUGCUGCAAUAUCCCCACAUUUUUCCAUCCUUUCACUUCUUCCUCUCCCCUCCCUCCCUUCCCUCCUUCCUUGUUCGCCUGCUCUCCGCUCUCUGACCACUCUUACCCUUCCUCUCUGCUGCACCACCCUGUCCAAUCUCAGCCUCUCCCUCCCUCCCUCUGUCCUCCGAGCACAUUCAGUCCCCCCCACCACCCUCCUCUUUUUUCCUCCACCCACUAUUUUCUCAGAUUUUCUAACAUGCCGUUCCACAGAAUGCUACCACCUGUGUCUUUAGGGAGAAAAAAAAAGGGGGGGGGGGGGCUAUUGGUAUUCCUCUUCGGGAAGCUGGUUAAGGUAAGUGGCACCCUCUAUUACAAUGACACGGCAAAUAAUGGUUCUGCUUGUUGUGUUUCUGUGUUACCUUUUAUUUUUUUUUCAUGGAAUGACCCUGGCUUCCUAAGCAUCACCGCCCUCCAUCAGAGCUCUAGCUACAAGUCAGUGCUGUAAAAACACACACAGUCACUAUCGAUGAACGUCAGCAGAGCAGCACGCGGCGCCACAAAAGGAGCCCGGAGACCAACAAAGCCGGCUGAUACGGUAACACUGAGUGGAUCAUGCUCUUGAACUUGCUUUCAUAAUGAUGUAAUAUUAAUAAAAGGCGAUGCAACACAGCAAAGAUCUUAAUAAAAACACAUCAAUCCCGA